rnacentral:ncRNA from 2 species
AUAUGUACCAUGAUAGGAAGUAGUAAGCUUUCCCAUUGAUUUUAGAGAGCUGUUGGCCGGUGAAAAACAGUAUCAAUGGACGCCGAACUCGUCCUAGAGUUGUUAAGGUGAAAUAUAGUAACUUUAACCGGUAAAGGCCGUUAUCGUAUUAAGAGGAUAGUAUACUAUCAAUUAGGGUGGUACCGCGGAAAUAUACCUUUCGUCUCUAUU